rnacentral:rRNA from 1 species
UACAGAGGGGGCAAGCGUUGUUCGGAAUUACUGGGCGUAAAGGGCGCGUAGGCGGCCUUCUAAGUCAGACGUGAAAUCCCCAGGCUCAACCUGGGAACUGCGUCCGAUACUGGAUGGCUUGAAUUCGGGAGAGGGAUGCAGAAUUCCAGGUGUAGCGGUGAAAUGCGUAGAUAUCUGGAGGAAUACCGGUGGCGAAGGCGGCAUCCUGGACCGACAUUGACGCUGAGGAGCGAAAGCUAGGGGAGCAAACGGG